rnacentral:sRNA from 1 species
GUCUAGCCCCGAUUGAAACGAAAAUCUUAUAAGCCGGAUUUGGUUUUAUAAGAUUGUAAUGAAAAAUGAGAGGAAUC